UACGGGGGGAGCAAGCGUUGUUCGGAUUUACUGGGCGUAAAGGGCGCGUAGGCGGCGUGACAAGUCACUUGUGAAAUCUCCGGGCUUAACCCGGAGCGGCCAAGUGAUACUGUCGUGCUAGAGUGCGGAAGGGGCUACUGGAAUUCUCGGUGUAGGCGGUGAAAUGCGUAGAUAUCGAGAGGAACACCUGCGGCGAAGGCGGGAUAGCUGG
rnacentral:rRNA from 1 species